ensembl:rRNA 5S_rRNA 5S ribosomal RNA
GUUUACGACCAUACCACCCUGAACGUGCCUGAUCUUGUCUGAUCAUGGAAGCUAAGCAGGGUCAGGCCUGGUUAGUACUUGGAUGGGAGAGUUUUCAGAGUUUUUAAGU